UAGGGCCCUGUAACAAUCUAUUUCUGAUCUC
rnacentral:piRNA from 1 species